rnacentral:rRNA from 1 species
GAUGAACGCUAGCGGCAGGCUUAAUACAUGCAAGUCGAGGGGCAGCAGCUUUGUAGCAAUACAGGGGCUGGCGACCGGCAAACGGGUGCGGAACACGUACGCAACCUUCCUUUAACUGGAAGAUAGCCCACCGAAAGGUGGAUUAAUACUCCAUAACAUAUUGAAGAGGCAUCUCUUUGAUAUUAAAGCUCCGGCGGUUAAAGAUGGGCGUGCGUCUGAUUAGGUAGUUGGCGGGGUAACGGCCCACCAAGCCUUCGAUCAGUAGCUGAUGUGAGAGCAUGAUCAGCCACACGGGCACUGAGACACGGGCCCGACUCCUACGGGAGGCAGCAGUAAGGAAUAUUGGUCAAUGGACGCAAGUCUGAACCAGCCAUGCCGCGUGGAGGAUGAAGGCCCUCUGGGUUGUAAACUUCUUUUCUUUGGGACGAAACCCCUGUUUCUACGGGGACUGACGGUACCAGAGGAAUAAGCACCGGCUAACACCGUGCCAGCAGCCGCGGUAAGAC